CAUUUCCUCUUUGUUUAUAUGGCUGUGAUCUCCAACCUGAAAUAGUGAGAUUUUAAAGUUGAGAGCCUAUAUGCAAAACCAAUACAAAAACAAUUAAAUGUCAGGACUCCAAAUACGCUAAAUGAAAAAAUAUAUAGAGUACGUACAAUGUAGAAGCUCUGCUCCAUGAAGGCACUUCCAAGAAAUAGUGGGGAUAACCACGACUAGUUAGUAAGGUGGUGAACUUUACAUAUUUAAAAGUUUAAGGACAUCAGUAUGGCAAGUCCUUCACCACAAUCAUCUCCUAUGCCUCCACCACAAACGCCAAGUCCUAUGGGCCCUCCUCAGCAGGCACCAUCACCUUCUAACCCACAAGGUAGUCCUAUGGGUCCACCACAGCAUCAUCCUCAUAGUCCAACACAAGCAUAUCAAACUGGUCCGCCAAUGCCACCUGGAGGUCCACCUAUGUCUCAACCGAAUCAACAACCUUCAUCGCAACAGCAGAAUUAUCCAUCACACCCACAACAAAUGCAAUCUGCUAUGGGUCCACAGAAUCAGAGUGGACCUGGCAUGCCAGUUAGUCAAAAUUCUAAUUCUCAGCAGGCUCCCAGUGGACCUAUGGUACCAGGCCAAAUGGGACCAAGUGGAUCUCAAGGAACAUCUCACAUUAUGCAAUCUGGUCCAAACCAAAUGAAUGCAAAUGGACCAGGACAAAUGAGUGCUGGUGGCCCUGGUCAGAUGGGCCCAGGAGGCCCUGGUCCAAUGGGCCCAGGAGGCCCUGGUCAAAUGGGCCCAGGAGGCCCUGGUCAAAUGGGCCCAGGAGGCCCUGGUCAAAUGGGACCAGGAGGCCCUGGUCAGAUGGGACCAGGAGGCCCCGGUCAAAUGGGCCCAGGAGGCCCUGGUCCAAUGGGCCCAGGAGGCCCUGGUCAAAUGGGCCCAGGAGGUCCUGGUCAAAUGGGUCCAGGAGGUUCAGGACCAAUUGGAGCAAGCCAUAUGGGCCAAGCUGCUGGAGGACCACCAGGAGGUCCACAUAUGAGUCAGGCUCCUCCUCAAAUGGGUCCAGGAAAUGGACCUGUGCCACAAAUGGGUUCUGGAGGACCUUCAAAUUCGCAAAUGGUACCUGGAGGACCAGGACAUAUGAGUGGCCCACCAGGAUCAAGCCAUAUGAAUGCAGCUGGACCACCAGGUCCAGGACAUAUGAAUACAAGUGGGCCACCAGGAUCAGGCCAUAUGAAUGCAACUGGACCCCCUGGAACAGGCCAUAUGAAUGCGACUGGGCCACCAGGACCAGGUCAUAUGAGUUCAGGUGGUCCGCCUGGACCAGGACAUAUGAGCACUAAUGGGCCCCCUGGACCAGGACAUAUUAAUACAAAUGGUCCACCCGGUUCAACUCAUAUGAAUGCUAGUGGUCCGCCUGGAAGUCAUUUAAAUAGCGGACCAUCCAUACCAAGUCAUAUAAAUGCAAGUGGUCCACCAGGAUCUGGACAUAUGAGUGCUAGCGGACCAGGAAAUCAUUUAGGCCCUGGAGGGCCAGGUCAAAUGCCUCCAGGUGGUUCUACUGCACAUAACUUGGGGCCAGGAGGACCAAAUCAAAUGGGUCCUGGAGGUCCAAAUCAAAUGGUACCUAGUAAUCAAACCCCUAUGGGACCUAGUCCCAUGGGGCCUGUUGGACAAGGUGGACAAAUUGGGCCAAAUGCACCUGGCCAAAUGGGACAUAACGGACCAUCACCAAUGGGUCCAAAUGCUCCUGGACAGAUGGGUAUCGGAUCUGCCUCGUCGCAACUGGGAAUGGGAGGGCCUGGAAGUCAGUUGGGUCCAGGUGGGCCAGGUAGUCAAAUGGGUCCGGGUAGUGGACCUGGGGGACAAUUAGGAAGUAGUCUUGGACAAAUGGGGCCAGGAAGUGGACCUGGAGGACAAAUGCCACCAAGCAAUGGACCUGGAGGGUCCAUGGGCCCUGGAAGUGGUCCUGGUGGACAAAUGGUAUCAACUAGUGGACCUGGAGGUCAAAUAGGGCCAGGAAGCAGUCCUGGAGGGCAAAUAGGACCGGGAAGUGGUAGUGGAAAUCAAAUAGGACCUGGAAAUGCUCCUGGAAAUCCGAUGACGCCAGGAAGCGGACCUAGCGGACAAAUGGGUCCAGGAACUGGACCCAAUAGUCAAAUGGGACCGGGAAAUUUACCUGGAGGACAAAUGGGCCCAGGAAAUAACUCAAAUAGUCAAAUGGGUCCUGGAAAUGGACCAAGUGGACAGAUAGGCCCAGGUGGUCAAAUGGGACCCAAUGGUCCUGGAGGGCAAAUGGGUCCAGGUGGUUCAGGAGUACAAAUACCACCAGGUGGUCCUGCAAAUCAAAUGGGACCUGGUGGCCCUGGUAAUCAAAUAGGACCAAGUGGACCAAACAAUCAGCUAAGCCACAGUGGUGCUAGCAAUCAAAUGGGACCAAGUGGACAGUCAUCUUCUGGUCAAAUUGGCCCUGGUUCACAGGGCCAACAAAUUGUUCCAGGAGGUUCAGCGCCAAUCGGGCCUGGUGCACCUGUGAAUCAAAUGAGUCAAACUGGACCUGGUGGUCCACCUGGUGCUGGACAAGAAAAUUUGAAUGCUUUACAGAAAGCUAUUGAUUCAAUGGAAGAAAAGGGACUUCAAGAGGAUCCACGUUAUUCUCAGCUAUUAGCUUUAAGGGCUCGUCAAGGCAACAUUGGAGAGAAACAAGCUUUUAGUUCACAACAAUUACAACAAUUGCGUGUACAGAUAAUGGCAUAUCGAUUAUUAGCAAGAAAUCAACCGUUAUCGCAACAACUUGCACUUGCAGUUCAAGGUGGAGCACCUCCUCCUCCAGGUAUGGGACAACGAACUCCUAUAGAUCCAUCUCAAGGACCUCCUACUACUACAGGCCCACAAAUCUCUGGACCAAAUGUAAUUGGUUCUGCGGUUCCUCCAAGACCAGGUUGUCAAACACCACAACAACAACAACCUCCUCAACCAGGUGCUAAAACUAACAGAGUGACAAGUGUGGCAAAACCAGCUGGUUUAGAUCCGCUACUGAUUUUGCAGGAACGUGAAAACAGGGUCCAAUGUGAAAACAAACUUCACUCUCAUACAUCGAGGAAAGCGACACAUGCAUUUCUUCAAUUAAAACGUUUUAUGGUUACAGUUGCAGCACGCAUAGCGUUACGAAUGGAACAAUUGAGCAAUUUACCAACUAACAUGCCAGAAGAUCUCCGUAUCCAGGCACAGAUUGAGUUACGGAUGCUUAGGGUACUGAAUUUCCAAAGACAACUACGAUCAGAGAUUUUAGCAUGUACCCGAAAAGAUACUACCUUAGAAACUGCAGUGAAUGUAAAGGCCUACAAGCGUACGAAAAGACAAGGACUUAGGGAAGCCAGAGCUACAGAAAAACUCGAAAAGCAACAAAAAUUGGAAGCUGAACGUAAAAGAAGGCAAAAACAUCAAGAGUUUCUUAGUUCUGUACUUCAACAUGGUAAAGAUUUCAAAGAAUUUCAUCGAAACAAUGUGGCCAAAUUGGCAAGACUCAACAAAGCUGUUCUAAAUUACCAUGCAAAUGCUGAAAGAGAACAGAAGAAAGAACAGGAGCGUAUUGAGAAAGAACGUAUGAGACGUCUUAUGGCGGAAGACGAAGAAGGUUACAGAAAACUGAUUGACCAAAAGAAAGAUAAACGGUUAGCGUUUCUGUUGUCACAGACAGAUGAAUAUAUCAGUAAUCUUACUGAAAUGGUAAAACAACACAAGAUAGAACAAAAAAGGAAGCAAGUGGAAGAACAAAAGCGUAAAAAGAAAAAGAAGAAGUUGCAAGAUGGCGAAGGAGGUGAAGAUGGAAAUGCUAAUGAAGAUACUCGUGUUGGAGUGAUUGAGACAGCUACUGGUCGCACAUUAACUGGCGAAGAAGCACCGCUAAUGAGUCAACUUUCACAAUUCUUAGAAUCUCAUCCAGGAUGGGAACCAAUUGAAUCCGAAAGUGAAGAUGAUGAAGAUGAAGAGGAAGAAGAAAAUGAAGGUGAAGAAAAAGGGGAAAAUAAAGAAAAAUCUACUGGCGAUUCAGAAGAAGAAAAGGUUAAAAAGACUAUACAUAAAGCCAAAGUAGAGGACGAUGAAUACAAAACGGAAGAACAAACGUAUUACAGUAUUGCACACACUGUGCACGAGGUAGUAACAGAACAGGCAUCUAUCAUGGUCAAUGGAAAAUUGAAAGAAUAUCAAAUCAAGGGUUUGGAAUGGCUGGUGUCAUUAUUUAACAAUAAUCUCAAUGGUAUACUUGCGGAUGAAAUGGGUCUUGGCAAAACUAUUCAAACAAUAGCUUUGGUGACUUAUCUUAUGGAGAAAAAAAAAGUAAACGGGCCAUUUCUUAUAAUUGUUCCUUUAUCAACUUUGUCGAAUUGGGUAUUGGAAUUUGAGAAAUGGGCUCCUAGUGUUGUAGUUGUUUCGUAUAAAGGUUCACCAGCUGGCAGAAGAGCCAUUCAAUCUCAAAUGAGAGCCACUAAAUUUAAUGUUUUGCUUACUACUUACGAAUAUGUUAUUAAAGAUAAGGGCGUUUUAGCAAAAUUGCAGUGGAAAUAUAUGAUUAUCGACGAAGGACAUAGAAUGAAAAAUCAUCACUGUAAACUAACUCAAGUAUUAAAUACACAUUAUCUGGCUCCUCAUCGGCUUCUACUGACAGGGACACCAUUGCAAAAUAAAUUGCCUGAAUUGUGGGCAUUAUUAAAUUUUCUACUUCCUUCAAUCUUUAAAUCUUGUAGUACUUUCGAACAAUGGUUCAAUGCUCCAUUCGCAACCACUGGUGAAAAGGUAGAAUUAAAUGAAGAAGAAACUAUUCUUAUUAUUCGCCGAUUACAUAAAGUAUUACGUCCUUUCUUACUGAGACGUCUAAAGAAAGAAGUUGAAUCACAGUUACCUGAUAAAGUUGAAUACAUAAUCAAAUGCGAUAUGUCUGGACUGCAAAAGGUUCUUUAUAAACACAUGCAGAGUAAAGGUGUAUUGCUAACUGAUGGUUCAGAAAAGGGAAAACAGGGCAAAGGAGGCGCCAAAGCUUUAAUGAACACCAUUGUGCAAUUGAGAAAAUUAUGCAAUCAUCCAUUCAUGUUCCAAGCUAUUGAAGAAAAAUACUGCGAGCAUGUAGGUACGCAAGGAUCUGGUGUGAUUACUGGUCCCGACUUGUAUCGUGCCUCUGGAAAAUUUGAAUUGCUGGAUCGUAUUCUUCCGAAAUUAAAAGCGACAAAUCACAGAGUACUAUUAUUCUGUCAAAUGACACAGCUAAUGACAAUUAUGGAAGAUUACUUAAGUUGGAGAGGAUUUAUGUAUUUGCGAUUAGAUGGAACUACGAAAGCUGAAGAUAGAGGAGACUUACUCAAGAAAUUCAACGAUCCUGGUUCCGAAUAUUUCUUAUUUUUGUUAUCGACACGUGCUGGUGGCCUUGGAUUAAAUUUGCAAGCUGCGGAUACCGUUAUUAUUUUUGAUUCUGAUUGGAAUCCGCAUCAGGACUUGCAAGCACAAGAUAGAGCACAUAGAAUUGGACAAAAGAAUGAAGUACGUGUACUUAGAUUAAUGACGGUUAAUUCGGUCGAAGAAAGAAUAUUGGCUGCAGCUAGAUACAAAUUGAACAUGGAUGAAAAGGUUAUACAAGCGGGAAUGUUCGAUCAAAAGUCGACUGGUUCUGAACGGCAACAAUUCUUACAAAGCAUUUUGCAUCAAGAUGAUGCUGAAGAUGAAGAAGAAAAUGAAGUACCGGACGAUGAAACGGUUAAUCAAAUGAUUGCACGGACGGAAGGUGAAUUUGAAAUAUUUCAAAAGUUAGAUUUAGAACGAAGAAGGGAAGAAGCAAAGCUGGGUCCAAACAGAAAGUCCCGACUAUUGGAGGAAGCUGAGUUACCCGAUUGGUUAGUAAAAGAUGAUGAUGAGGUUGAAAGGUGGACGUACGAAGAAGAUGAGGAUAGAUUCCUUGGACGAGGUUCAAGACAACGGAAGGAAGUUGAUUAUACUGACAGUUUGACUGAAAAAGAAUGGCUGAAAGCAAUCGAUGACGAUGGAGCUGAGUACGAAGAGGAAGAGGAAGACGAUAAGAAGAAGAAGAAAACACGAAAACGGAAGAAGAAAGGCGAGGAAGACGACGAGCCUAUGCCAAAGAAGCGAAGAGGAACAGGAUCUUCAAUUGACCCGAAAAUGAAACGAGCUAUGAAAAAGUUGCUUAUGGUAGUUGUUAAUUACACUGAUAGUACAGAUGGCAGGCUCCUUAGCGAACCAUUUAUGAAAUUACCAUCCAGAAGAGAAUUGCCGGAUUAUUACGAAAUUAUUAAAAAACCAUUAACUAUCAAUAAAUUACUUCAAAAGAUUGAAGAAGGAAAGUAUGCCGAUUUUGACGAUCUUGAGAAAGACUUUAUGCAGUUGUGUAAAAACGCACAAAUUUAUAAUGAAGAAGCUUCUCUCAUACACGAAGAUUCCAUUGUUUUACAAUCUGUAUUUACGAAUGCGCGUCAACGUAUCGAAGAGGAAGGCAAUAAUUCCGACAUGGAUGACAAAGGUGAAGGCGAAGAAGGGUCUGACGCAGAUUCCACUGUUAGAAUGAGGAUCAAGUUGAAAGGAAGGAAGGGCGAAGGUAGAGGAGGCCGGAGGAAAAGGGUCACUAAAAAGUAUAUAUCGGAUGACGACGACGAUGGCGAUGACAACUGAAGAUUAUAUGAAGACUGUAUGAAUUAUUAGAUUAUCUUAGAUAAUAAAUAAGGAACUUGGUUCAGUGACACGUUCUCGGAUUCCCGGACCAUCUUUCUUAUUAUUUCCGAAUGGCAUUCGCUUUACAUCUUUUCUUGAUCUUUGCCCCUCUCCUUGUGGGAAGGUUCGUACGAGCAGCGAGGAAACCGCAGAAAGAAGAGGAAGAGAGGAGAAAGAUGAGUUGCAACGUAAUGGAGACAUCAACUGAGGUGUGAAACGUCGGGUACGAAGGGUAGAUGUGGCAAUGAGGGGAUGGUAGGGAUGACUAUAAACCACGGAAGACAAUAGCUGCUUCGGUAAUAGAAUAACGCGAGACCACGGCAUGUCCGAUACCGAUUCAAUUAAUGCCGUUAUCCAGAGAGAUCCUGCAUGCGCGGCUUUUGAUCGCGGGCCAUCCCCCUCCCUCUAUUCGUCGCUCGCCAACCUUUGCCCCCGACUCUUGGUCGCGUCGCGUCGCGUCGUUCAUUGAAGCAGGCUUGGAUAUUCGAUCGGAUAGAUUGCCGUUGUUGUUCAAUAUCCUAGGCAGCCGGCGACGAUAAAGCCUGCAUUCGCCGAUGGAUGCUCAGUACCGUGCUGCUUCCGAGAUUUAAUUAUUACCAUGUUGUUCAGGCACGAUCAGAAAUUUCUCUUGCGAAAUUACGAGUUUUGAAUUCGUGCGACGAUAUUACUCUCGUGGUACGAUGUUUGUAACGAAAGAAACCGACACCGAGUACGUCGUUUAUGGCGAAGCAGAACGAAGACAAAUAUUUUGUCGCGGUACUAGCUUCAAUCUCAGUGACGAUUACCAACGAUCCAUAGAUCGUAUCGUUCUUGUUAUUUCAAUAUUUAACUGUAACAUUUUAUAGCCUGUGUCUCGUUGCUCUCGCGUUCUUGAAAUUGAUCGCAACUACUCCGAUAUAAAUAAUAAUUAUUUUACGCAACGCGUGUAAAGAAGAUGAAUUGCCGAAGAUGAAUUAGUAAUUCGAACAGCGAACAGUCGGUCACUGAGUCUAUUAUAAAUGUACGAGCGAUAUAGUUGACCGAUAUCAAGCACGACGCUGAUGGGGAUUCAAACUAUUCUCCACUUAUCUCUCUCCGCUCAUUUCGUUGUUAAUGUCAGUGACUUUAUUGUCCUGACAGCUGUGUCAUUUUCGUAUACAUAGAUUAUGCGCGGAUGAACCUGUCAGGCAAUGGUUUUACAUAGUAGAAAUUCGUAACAAUAAGCCACUAUUAAAAUACAUUGGGAGGUACUAGUAAGUACUCUUGUAAGACACUAGCAACGUUUUACAAGAAAGAUACGCGUCAAAUGACUCGUCAAAUGACAAAUGAAAGUACAUCUUAUAAAUAUGUACUUACAAGUAUUUAGAUAAAUAGACAUACAUGUACAAGUAGCUUGGGAACUGAAUUAAUUUGCAAUUGAUAAACAAAGGAUAGUAGUCUUAGACGUCAGCAAACUUAAUCAACGGAAUAUAAACAAAAUAUCACUUGAAUCGGCUCUUUGCAUCUAGUCCAUAAUUUUAAUUCAAUUAAUACACACGCACACGUAUAUGGAUAUACACAUGUUACAAGGCUAAAAGUAAGAAGUUAGCGUAAUUGCUCGGUUAUGAUUACUAAUAUUUAACGAGCAAUCGCAUGGAUUUCAUUCAUCUAGGUUUGCAGCGCUCUGAAGCAAAGUUUGUCACCCUCCUGUUUCUCAUGUUGGAACAACUUGCUAGUGUAAACGAAAUGAAAACUUCGGCUCUGCUAGCUGCGCAAACAUUUAAAUUCAGUCUUGUUUGCCUUAAGUAUUAUUACGAUACUUCUGCAUUCGUUAACGGCUGAAAACACAGACGAAUAUAAGGCGGACUUUCGAAGAGCUUGAGAAAACUGCUGACGGAUGAUUACCGCGCUAACAGUUGCUGAAUACCUGCAAACGUUUUCACGCGUGAAAGCAUAGCGAACUGUGUUUGGCGUUUAUUGUUAAAUAUUUUUCUGAAGAAUAUUUUUCUCGUUACCAAAGAUCGAUCUAUCAGCGUUCCACAAAAACUUGAUACAAGAUGAUCAAAACGAAAGAUUCUUACGAGGAUAUUAAAAGCGUUCAAUAUUUUUAGUAAUGGUAUCCGUCGUGAUAUCAAAGCUUAACAUUGAAUGGAUUCAAAAUCAAAUGUGAGGUACGUAGAAAAUGAAAAACAUGUAGAAACGCCAACCUGUAUCUCUUUAUUACGGAUAACACGUAUUACUAAAAAUAUUAGACGCCUUUAACAUCCUCGUAAGAGUUUUCGAUCUGUUGCAUCAAGAUUUUCUCAAUGAAAUUACGCGUUCUUUUCCGCAAAGGCAUAAAUUCAGUUCCGAAAGCGAUAAGAGAUACAGCUACAAACGCGAGAAAGAGAAUUUAAGGCGCGCGUGAAACGAAAGUCAUGGCUCUCCACUUCGCUUUUUCUAGAUUCUGUUUUUCUUUAAUUUUCCCCGUUGAUUCUAAACUACUAAAUAAAUCUGGUUUAAAUGGCAUUUUAAAUUUUAUUCCGCUUCCAAAUUUAUUCCACUCUCUUCCUCUCUCUCUCUCUCUCUUUCGGAAUUACAUAUGUACGACGUCGUUUCUUCGUCUGUUUUCCAAAUUGUGAAACAGAAAAAGGCUCAGAAAGUAACUUUAGGAAGAAACGGUAAAAGAAGCUGUGUAUAACAACGUACAUACAUAUAUGUAUGUAUAUCGACGAGCUUGGCUGUUUGCGAAGGCGUCUAGUAAAAUAUACACCGUAGAAUGGUUCAAUUUCCUCGGAAGUUGGAUGAUCUCGAAAAAUAUGGCCUCUCCUUGAGUUAUACGGAACUGUGCAUGCAGGUCAGCAUGAUGUGGCCACCUUCGCUUGUACACACGUAACCGCUACAGACACGUGCAUGCACGAACCUGCACCGUGCAUUAUACAUAGUAUAAUACCUUGUUCCAUAUUUUAGAAUUUUUAUACGUAUAUAUAGUUGCCAUAGUCUUUAUGUCAUUUAUGCUUAAACAAUUCAUAAUAUGUAUAUCACCGAGACACGCGUUUAUAAAUACAUAUGUAUACAUACGAUAUAUGUAUAUACCUAUUGUAAUUCUAUUUUAAGUUACCUCGAUAUAAUAGAGUAGCCGUGAAUAAUUCUUCAACGAUUUUACUGUAAUAUCGCCAAUUAAUUAGUAAGCUAAUACACGUGCGCACGUGUAUUACCUUAAAUAUUAAAUAAUCGCAGCAUAAACUUA